AGCGAACGCUGGCGGCAGGCCUAACACAUGCAAGUCGAACGAAGUCUUCGGACUUAGUGGCGGACGGGUGAGUAACACGUGGGAACGUACCUUUUGGUUCGGAACAACUCAGGGAAACUUGAGCUAAUACCGGAUGAGCCCUUAGGGGGAAAGAUUUAUCGCCGAAAGAGCGGCCCGCGUUAGAUUAGCUAGUUGGUGAGGUAAAGGCUCACCAAGGCUACGAUCUAUAGCUGGUCUGAGAGUAUGAUCAGCCACACUGGGACUGAGACACGGCCCAGACUCCGACGGGAGGCAGCAGUGGGGAAUCUUGCGCAAUGGGCGAAAGCCUGAUGCAGCCAUGCCGCGUGAAAGAUGAAGGUCUUAGGAUUGUAAAAUUCUUUUACCAGGGACGAUAAUGACGGUACCUGGAGAAAAAGCCCCGGCUAACUUCGUGCCAGCCGCCGCCGUAAUAC
rnacentral:rRNA from 1 species